GGACCCGUUUCGCUCUCCGAGUCUCCGACGGCUCACGACUGGUGUGUCUCACCCCACACUCGCUCGCUCUCCGACGACUGGUGGGCCGCCGCUGCCCUGCGCCAGCCGCCAGGUGCUGAGGCCUUCGUUGAUCUAUUCGCCAGCGACGAGCGCCCACCAGGUAUUCCCAUCCCUUGUCUUCUCUUCUCUUCCUGCUGUGCGAAUCAGAGCACCCAAACCCUAACCUAAAGCUAUUUGGCUAUUUGAUGCCACCUAACUUCGAACCUUUUGAUAAAACUGUACAUCCAUGCCCCUUUGGCAGGUCCACCCCAGCAGGAUAUGGUAGGCGGUAGCGAGUAAUUUUGUUUGCUUGUGUUUUUUUUGGGGGCGGGUUUGGUCACCAAUGUCUGUUCUUUUGGUUGUUGAAGGUGUUUGGAGCAUGGAACAGGUGGUGCUUCCAAAUCUAGAUUUCAUUUUAGUUGCCAUGAGUCAAUUUGUGGUUCGGUUGGGGUUUCUGUAAGAGACCCCUGAGGCUUGAGCAGAUCUAUUCCCAGAUGGAGGCUGCCUGAGGCUCGGGGCACACACGUUAGUGUAGCUGAUAGUUGGGUGUUAGUUGCUGAUUGCAAGAAUGUCCAUGUAUAUUUGAUAACUAGGGGUUGCUUUUUCCGCUGUUGUAUGCCGCCUUUCAUGCAGACAGAAAGAAGUCUUUCUAGUCAUUAGUCAAUACCUAAAGUCCUCUCCAUAUAUAUCAAACGAGUGAAAGCUCGUGUUUUUAACCCUUCUCUGUUGCCACUGUAGACUUAGUUG
rnacentral:lncRNA from 7 species